ACUGAGAAUCUCACAUCCUUGUAUCUUUUACAUAUAGCCAGGCACGAUUUACUGAACUGGCUUUAUUCUAUGUUUUGCUUUCACAUGAAUUUUAAGUGACAAAGAGACAGCCGUUUUAUAUCUGUUGUGGUUUUUCAGAGACACUGCUGAAUAAGUAAUCACUGUUCCAUGGACAGAAUUUGUCCCAUCUAGCUGGUUGGGGUCCUUUGGGUGAGAUGCUCUGGUUAGACCAUGUCAUGAAUCAGGAAUACAUCCCAACCAUUCGCUGGCUACGACUGCACUGCUGUGACACUGCACCUGGGAGGAGGAAGACCAUGCUUACUUAUCCAUGUUAUCCACAGUGACCCCAGCCACACUGAAAGCAUUCUCCAAUCCCCUGCUACUAUCGUAAAAUGUUGAGUCACCUUGAGGUUCAAGCAGAAAGUGAUACAGCGACAUAUUAGGAAGGUUGAUGAACUUCGCUGUUCGACACAAGGCAAGCUGGACCAACUGAGGCAAAGCAACUGGAAUGUUUGUCUUCCGGCCUGCAGUGAACUACAAAGUGCCAUGAGAAUGUCUUUUUAAGGUCUCCAUUGCUACCAUUCAUGAUGAAAAUACUGAAACUACAGUAUAAUGCAGCUUCAAUGUAUCUUCUACUGAAUGAGCAUUACAGAUGUUCUGCAGCAAUGUUUGAGUUCAAAAUAGGAUUAGUAGACAUUUCUUGGGAUGUAGAGGAAUCAGCUGAUCUAAAUGCUUUUAAAUAUCUUUCUAAUACUGAUGAGGUAGGUCCCUGUCGUAUUUAAACUGCCCCCUUCCCCCUUUAAGUAAGAUCCUGGCAACACACUCAAGCCUUAAUAACAAUGAUAAUAAUAAUUCAAAGCUUCUUGGACAGCUGUAGAUGUGUGCUUUCAGUGGCUGAUUAUGUAAUUCGCUAUACUUCAGUAGUCAUCUGAUGACCGCUCUAUUAGAAACCUUUUCAUUGUAGCCUUACUGUGAGGGUGCAUGUUAGAAUUUCACUGAACGCUUAGCUACACCUGGCAUAAUUAUAAUAAAUAUAUAUAUUUUUUUUAUUUCUUAGCAGACGUACAAUUGUUACAAGAUAUCACAUUAUACAUUAUACAGAUAUCAUAUUAUUUUACAUACAAUUACCCAUUUAUACUGGAGCAAUCUAGGUAAAGUACCUUGCUCAAGGGUACAACAGCAGUGUCCCCCACUGGGGAUUGAACCCACAACCCUUCAGUCAAGAGUCCAGAGCCCUAACCACUACUCCAAACUGCUGCCCUAUAGAUUAAGAUGAAUACAUAACACUGAUAUCUAAUGUGUAACACAAAGGCUGUAUUUACAUAAUGUGUCUGGGGACUUGCGGGGAGUGCUGGAUUGGCUUGUGCCUUCCACAGGAAUAGGCUAGUACAGUAUGUUUAAUCUUGCUCCAGCAACCAAUACUGGUCACACUCUCCCAUUCUGGCCUUUGCCGCCAGGGUUUGGUAGUUUGGUAACAUCCGUUUUUUAUGUUUGGCAGGCAAAAUUAAUUGUGCAACCCCAUGAGUGGAGCUUAUAAGUGUGUGCAAAUUCUCUACCACUCAGACUGCUGCUAAUAUUUCAUAAACAAUUUAAUCUGGCACCUUCCUAGUUUCAGUCUUAUGUAAACUCCUCGAGCAAAAUCUAACAGCAUCCUUCACUUUUGACCUAAGAUUACCGCUUAUUUGGGGUCAUGUGACAUUGGCUUGAUACUUGGUUAUAUUCUGUGAUUCUCUUGGUCAGAUUUGAUUGUGGGUGUUGAAGUAGAAAAAUUAAACCUUUUUCUAUUUUUUAUUUUUUUUAUUUUUUACAACGUUGCCACAGGGCCAAAGCCUUGUAUCUCAGACUCCAAUGUUUGAUACACAGCUGUAUUCUAUGAUUUUCUUAAGUUCUGUUACCAGUGAUCACCAGUAAAAAUCCACCCUUGAUACAGACAACAUAGCGUCUUUAUAGCGUCUCUCUCUCUCUCUCUCUCUCUCUCUCUCUCUCUCUCUCUCUCUCUCUCUCUCUCUCUCUCUCUCUCUCUCUCUCUCUCUCUCUCUCUCUCGAUAUA